AUGGGUCCAAUGACCCUCAAAUCAGAAACAGGCCGAUCUGCAGUAAUUGAUGUUGGGACUGUUGGAUUGAUCAAAAAAGGCAUCAUCAAAGUUCAAGGGAGCAUUAGUAAGAUCAAGGGCAACAUAGUUAAAUUUCAAUGCAGUAAAAGAAUGUCAUUUGAUGCAAUUGUGUUUGCAACUGGAUACAAAAGCACGGCAAAUAUGUGGCUCAAGGAUGGUGAGAGCAUGUUAAAUGGCAACGGACUGCCCAUCCAAAAAUAUCCGAAUCAUUGGAAAGGUGAAAAUGGGCUCUACUGUGCUGGGUUGGCGAGGAGAGGAUUAGCUGGUAUUGCAACAGAUGCCAAGAAUAUCGCUAAUGACAUCAAAUCUGUGAUGGACUCUAUGUCAAGUUAA
rnacentral:rRNA from 1 species